ACCCUUUAAUGUUUGAUGUUCUAACGUGGACCCGUGAUCCGGGUUGCGGACAGUGUCUGGUGGGUAGUUUGACUGGGGCGGUCUCCUCCUAAAGAGUAACGGAGGAGCACGAAGGUUGGCUAAUCCUGGUCGGACAUCAGGAGGUUAGUGCAAUGGCAUAAGCCAGCUUGACUGCGAGCGUGACGGCGCGAGCAGGUGCGAAAGCAGGUCAUAGUGAUCCGGUGGUUCUGAAUGGAAGGGCCAUCGCUCAACGGAUAAAAGGUACUCCGGGGAUAACAGGCUGAUACCGCCCAAGAGUUCAUAUCGACGGCGGUGUUUGGCACCUCGAUGUCGGCUCAUCACAUCCUGGGGCUGAAGUAGGUCCCAAGGGUAUGGCUGUUCGCCAUUUAAAGUGGUACGCGAGCUGGGUUUAGAACGUCGUGAGACAGUUCGGUCCCUAUCUGCCGUGGGCGCUGGAGAACUGAGGGGGGCUGCUCCUAGUACGAGAGGACCGGAGUGGACGCAUCACUGGUGUUCGGGUUGUCAUGCCAAUGGCACUGCCCGGUAGCUAAAUGCGGAAGAGAUAAGUGCUGAA
rnacentral:rRNA from 1 species